AGUUUCUUGCUCUUUUCAAUAUCCGUUUUCUUUUCCUGGGCAAAGAAGACUUCUGUUGCUGAAAUUUUGGAUUUUGAAUAUGUGUGGUCCUCCGUAUAUCUUUCUUCAAACUUGCCAGGGCCGGGAAGCAACGAUACCCAUUAGCAGCUCCUGUGCCUAUCAUGUGACAGCAGAAAA